AGAUUGAACGCUGGCGGCAUGCCUUACACAUGCAAGUCGAACGGCAGCACGGGAGCAAUCCUGGUGGCGAGUGGCGAACGGGUGAGUAAUAUAUCGGAACGUGCCCAGUCGUGGGGGAUAACGCAGCGAAAGCUGUGCUAAUACCGCAUACGAUCUAUGGAUGAAAGGCGGGGAUCGACAAGACCUCGCGCGAUUGGAGCGGCCGAUAUCAGAUUAGCUAGUUGGGUAGGGUAAAAGCCUAACCGAAGGCGACGAUCUGUAGCUGGUCUGAGAGGGACGACCAGCCACACUGGAACUGAGACACGGUCCAGACUCCGUACGGGAGGCAGCGAGGUGGGUAAUUUUGGAACAAGUGGGACG
rnacentral:rRNA from 1 species